UCCGUGCCGAAGCCCCUAGUGACUUUGGUACGAGCACUGACUAAACCCGAAGGCGGAAAGAAAUUGAAAACGAGUCCAGUACUCGUCUAGGGAAGAUGGCGACGGAUCCGGCCUCUCUUUGAGGUACUCGCAGAUCGGCCCGCAUUCCCGGGGUUCCUCAUUCGCCGGCCGUCCUCGUGGCGGUUGACGAGAGGUGCGCCUAGAGCACACACGCUAGGACCCGAAAGAUGGUGAACUAUGCCUGGCCAGGACGAAGUCAGGGGAAACCCUGAUGGAGGUCCGAAACGAUUCUGACGUGCAAAUCGAUCGUCUGAGCUGGGUAUAGGGGCGAAAGACUAAUCGAACUAUCUAGUAGCUGGUUCCCUCCGAAGUUUCCCUCAGGAUAGCUGGCGCUCGGAGGUGAGAUGAGAUGAACGCGCUGAGUCUCUUCCGGUAAAGCGAAUGAUUAGAGGCCUUGGGGCCGAAACGACCUCAACCUAUUCUCAAACUUUAAAUGGGUGAGAACCCCGGCUUGCUUGAGGUGUC
rnacentral:rRNA from 1 species